rnacentral:rRNA from 1 species
GACGAACGCUGGCGGCGUGCUUAACACAUGCGAGUCGAACGGAAAGGCCCUGCUUUUGUGGGGUGCUCGAGUGGCGAACGGGUGAGUAACACGUGAGUAACCUGCCCUUGACUUUGGGAUAACUUCAGGAAACUGGGGCUAAUACCGGAUAGGAGCUCCUGCUGCAUGGUGGGGGUUGGAAAGUUUCGGCGGUUGGGGAUGGACUCGCGGCUUAUCAGCUUGUUGGUGGGGUAGUGGCUUACCAAGGCUUUGACGGGUAGCCGGCCUGAGAGGGUGACCGGCCACAUUGGGACUGAGAUACGGCCCAGACUCCUACGGGAGGCAGCAGUGGGGAAUAUUGCACAAUGGGCGGAAGCCUGAUGCAGCAACGCCGCGUGCGGGAUGACGGCCUUCGGGUUGUAAACCGCUUUCGCCUGUGACGCAGCGUGAGUGACGGUAAUGGGUAAAGAAGCACCGGCUAACUACGUG